AUUAUAGGAGAAUCAGAAAGUGUGUGAUUGGUUUGCCAUAUGAAAGUUUCCAUUCAUCUCUUUUCCAUUUGCACUCAGUCUUCUUGAUUUUCAUUCUUCCAGAUCACCUCUCAUAAAGAUGCAUGGCCAUUUCUGGAGCCGGUGGAUGUUGUAACUCUACAGCUUCCUGACUAUCACAAUGUAAUGGCUAAACCUGCUAAUAUAAUUUUGUCAUUUAUCGCUGCAGUUGAUUCCUAACAGAGUAAUAAUUUUGGUUACAAGGGGAUAUUGUUGUAGGUAGGUGAAAAUAUUUAUCACUAAUGUUGUUGUAUAUCUUUAGUGUUAUCCUGGAUGUAUGAGCAAUACAAAAUCUUGACAAGGUACACUGACUUUUAUCUUGAUCCAGUUUGGCCUCCGUUUGCAUUAUAUUGCAAGCACAUGUAUAUAAAUAUAAGUAUAUAACUACAAUAGACAUGAGCCAUUGUAGUUAGUGGCUUUUCCUUUAUCAGUGGAACCUUCUCACCCCCUUUUGAGAGUUUUACCAUUGAAUUAAUAUAACAGUUUAUGUUCAGUUUCUUGAAAUACAAGGUUGUGUCCUUAACCUCUAUUAUCUGCUACAUGAUUGUAUCAUUUAUUAUUUUUAUGUAUCACUUCAAAUUGUGGAAUCCUUGACAUGUAGCUGUAUAUGUUUCUCUGUAUUUAGCUUUCAGAUUCCAAUGGCAGUACUUCAGGUGUUUUCUAUUUGUUCAACUAGCAAACUUCUUAGUUCUGUUAUGUUUUAGUAUUGUACACUAUAUUCAAAUUUGAUAUCGAAAUGUCUGAAAGCAUUUACAGUUGUAACUGUAAUUAUCUUCACUAUCCAUUUAUAUGGCUGUCCGUGACACACAUACGUUUUCCAUGCCUGAAUGUUUUUUAAUCUAAGCAUUUUCUAUCUCAAUCAAAAUAAUAUUUACCAUUUACAUGUCGCCAACCAUAUGGGGUUGCUAAUUCAUUUCCUAUGUUGUAUUACUUUAGAAAUUGGCGCAAUUUGGGACUAGACAGCUUAGUUCUGGAUGACAUAGAGAGCCCCUUCUUUGGAAGGAGAACUUCAAUUCUUGAUACAGCCGCAAAAGAUUGGUCCUGUGUGGUGAUGCUAGAUCUUGAAUGUGACGAUUUGAUAAAUGAUAUGUUCCAUCACUUCUUGAGGACUGUUAAUUCUGGGCAUUCAGAAGCCGUCAUAUGCUGCAUGGAAA